AGUGAACGCUGGCGGUAGGCCUAACACAUGCAAGUCGAACGGCAGCACAGUAAGAGCUUGCUCUUACGGGUGGCGAGUGGCGGACGGGUGAGGAAUACAUCGGAAUCUACUUUUUCGUGGGGGAUAACGUAGGGAAACUUACGCUAAUACCGCAUACGACCUACGGGUGAAAGCAGGGGAUCUUCGGACCUUGCGCGAUUGAAUGAGCCGAUGUCGGAUUAGCUAGUUGGCGGGGUAAAGGCCCACCAAGGCGACGAUCCGUAGCUGGUCUGAGAGGAUGUUGAGCACCCUGGAAACUAGAACACGGCCCGAACCCCUAGGGGGGGAAGAGGGGGGGAAUUUUGGAAAAGGGGCGAAACCCUGAUCCAGCCAUACCGGGGGGGUGAAGAAGGCCUUCGGGUUGUAAAGCCUUUUUGUUGGGAAAAAAAAGCAGCAGGUUAAUCCCCCGCUGUUCUGACGGUACCCAAAAAAAAAGCACCGGCAAACUUCGU
rnacentral:rRNA from 1 species